UAGUCAACCUGCCCUGAAGACACGCAUAACCCCGGGAAACUGGGAUUAAUUCGUGAUAGGCCAUCUCAUCUGGAAGGAGAGAUGACUUAAAGGGGUGCGAGAGCUUCUUUCUUGCAUCCGCUUCAGGAUGGGACUGCGGCCGAUCAGGCUGUUGGUGGGGUAAUGGCCCACCAAACCUGUAACCGGUACGGGCCUUGAGAGAGGGGGCCCGGAGAUGGACACUGAGAGAAGGGUCCAGGUCCUACGGGGCGCAGCAGGCGCGAAACCUUCACAAUGCGCGAAAGCGUGAUGAGGUUAAUCCGAGUGGUCCCCGCUGAGGGGAUCUUUUGUCGGCUGUAAAAAGGCCGGUGAAUAAGGGGAGGGCAAGUCUGGUGUCAGCCGCCGCGGUAAUACCAGCUCCUCGAGUGGUCGGGGCGAUUAUUGGGCCUAAAGCAUCCGUAGCCUGUUCUGCAGGUCCACUGUUAAAUCCAACGGCUUAACCGUUGGCCCGCAGUGGAUACCACAGGACUAGGAGGCGGGAGAGGUGGACGGUACUCCACGUGUAGGGGUAAAAUCCUUUGAUCCGUGGAAGACCACCAGUGGCGAAGGCGGUCCACCAGAACGCGCUCGACGGUGAGGGAUGAAAGCUGGGGGAGCGAACCGGAUUAGAUACCCGGGUAGUCCCAGCCGUAAACGAUGCGAGCUAGAUGAUCCGGUCGCAAAUCGCGAUCGGAGUGUCGCAGGGAAGCCGUUAAGCUCGCCGCCUGGGGAGUACGGUCGCAAGACUGAAACU
rnacentral:rRNA from 1 species